AUACUCUUUGGCAGCACAUAUACUAAAAUCAGAAUAUACAGAGAUUUAUCAUGGUCUCUGAGCAAGGAUGACACACAAAUUUGUGAAGUGUUCCAUAUUUUU